AUUGAACGCUGGCGGAAUGCUUUACACAUGCAAGUCGAACGGCAGCACGGGUGCUUGCACCUGGUGGCGAGUGGCGGACGGGUGAGUGAUGCAUCGGAACGUGCCGUAUAGUGGGGGAUAACGCAUCGAAAGGUGUGCUAAUACCGCAUACGCCCUGAGGGGGAAAGUGGGGGACCGUAAGGCCUCACGCUAUACGAGCGGCCGAUUUCCGAUUAGCUAGUUGGGGGGGUAGAGGCUCACCAGGGCGACGACCGGUAGCUGGUCUGAGAGGACGACCUGCCCCACUGGGACUGCGACACGGCCCAGACUCCUAGGGGAGGCAGCAGUGGGGAAUUUUGGACAAUGGUGGCAACCCUGAUCCAGCCAUUCCGCGUGAGUGAAGAAGGCCUUCGGGUUGUAAAGCUCUUUUGUCAGGGAGGAAAUCCUUAGCGUUAAUACCGUUGGGGGAUGACAGUACCUGAAGAAUAAGGACCGGCUAACUACGUGCCAGCCGCCGCAGUAA
rnacentral:rRNA from 1 species